AGUGAACGCUGGCGGUAGGCCUAACACAUGCAAGUCGAACGGCAGCACAGUAAGAGCUUGCUCUUACGGGUGGCGAGUGGCGGACGGGUGAGGAAUACAUCGGAAUCUACUUUUUCGUGGGGGAUAACGUAGGGAAACUUACGCUAAUACCGCAUACGACCUACGGGUGAAGGCAGGGGAUCUUCGGACCUUGCGCGAUUGAAUGAGCCGAUGUCGGAUUAGCCAGUUGGCGGGGUAAAGGCCCACCAAGGCGACGAUCCGUAGCUGGUCUGAGAGGAUGAUCAGCCACACUGGAACUGAGACACGGUCCAGACUCCUACGGGAGGCAGCAGUGGGGAAUAUUGGACAAUGGGCGCAAGCCUGAUCCAGCCAUACCGCGUGGGUGAAGAAGGCCUUCGGGUUGUAAAGCCCUUUUGUUGGGAAAGAAAAGCAGCAGGUUAAUACCCCGCUGUUCUGACGGUACCCAAAGAAUAAGCACCGGCUAACUUCGUG
rnacentral:rRNA from 1 species